rnacentral:rRNA from 1 species
AACGAACGCUGGCGGCAGGCUUAACACAUGCAAGUCGAGCGCCCCGCAAGGGGAGCGGCAGACGGGUGAGUAACGCGUGGGAAUCUACCCAUCUCUACGGAAUAACGCAUGGAAACGUGUGCUAAUACCGUAUACGUCCUUCGGGAGAAAGAUUUAUCGGAGAUGGAUGAGCCCGCGUGGGAUUAGCUAGUUUGUGGGGUAAAGGCCUACCAAGGCGACGAUCCAUAGCUGGUCUGAGAGGAUGAUCAGCCACACUGGGACUGAGACACGGCCCAGACUCCUACGGGAGGCAGCAGUGGGGAAUAUUGGACAAUGGGCGCAAGCCUGAUCCAGCCAUGCCGCGUGAGUGAUGAAGGCCCUAGGGUUGUAAAGCUCUUUCACCGGUGAAGAUAAUGACGGUAACCGGAGAAGAAGCCCCGGCUAACUUCGUGCCAGCAGCCGCGGUAACAC